GGGUUGUGAGGUUAAGCGACUAAGCGUACACGGUGGAUGCCCUGGCAGUCAGAGGCGAUGAAGGGCGUGCUAAUCUGCGAUAAGCGCCGGUAAGGUGAUAUGAACCGUUAUAACCGGCGAUACCCGAAUGGGGAAACCCAGUGUGAUUCGUCACACUAUCAUUAACUGAAUCCAUAGGUUAAUGAGGCGAACCGGGGGAACUGAAACAUCUAAGUACCCCGAGGAAAAGAAAUCAACCGAGAUUCCCCCAGUAGCGGCGAGCGAACGGGGAGGAGCCCAGAGCCUGAAUCAGCAUGUGUGUUAGUGGAAGCGUCUGGAAAGGCGCGCGAUACAGGGUGACAGCCCCGUACACAAAAGCGCAUGUGCUGUGAGCUCGAUGAGUAGGGCGGGACACGUGGUAUCCUGUCUGAAUAUGGGGGGACCAUCCUCCAAGGCUAAAUACUCCUGACUGACCGAUAGUGAACCAGUACCGUGAGGGAAAGGCGAAAAGAACCCCGGCGAGGGGAGUGAAAAAGAACCUGAAACCGUGUACGUACAAGCAGUGGGAGCCCCACCACUAAGCCAGUGGUGAACUCCACAUACGCAUCCUUUGCUGAGGAUACGGUUAACGGAGCGAAAGCGACGUUCAACCUCAAAAGAAGCAGAGGGGGCUUAGUGGUGGGGUGACUGCGUACCUUUUGUAUAAUGGGUCAGCGACUUAUAUUCUGUAGCAAGGUUAACCGAAUAGGGGAGCCGUAGGGAAACCGAGUCUUAAUUGGGCGUUAAGUUGCAGGGUAUAGACCCGAAACCCGGUGAUCUAGCCAUGGGCAGGUUGAAGGUUGGGUAACACUAACUGGAGGACCGAACCGACUAAUGUUGAAAAAUUAGCGGAUGACCUGUGGCUGGGGGUGAAAGGCCAAUCAAACCGGGAGAUAGCUGGUUCUCCCCGAAAGCUAUUUAGGUAGCGCCUCGUGAAUUCAUCUCCGGGGGUAGAGCACUGUUUCGGCUAGGGGGCCAUCCCGGCUUACCAACCCGAUGCAAACUGCGAAUACCGGAGAAUGUUAUCACGGGAGACACACGGCGGGUGCUAACGUCCGUCGUGAAGAGGGAAACAACCCAGACCGCCAGCUAAGGUCCCAAAGUCAUGGUUAAGUGGGAAACGAUGUGGGAAGGCCCAGACAGCCAGGAUGUUGGCUUAGAAGCAGCCAUCAUUUAAAGAAAGCGUAAUAGCUCACUGGUCGAGUCGGCCUGCGCGGAAGAUGUAACGGGGCUAAACCAUGCACCGAAGCUGCGGCAGCGACACUGUGUGUUGUUGGGUAGGGGAGCGUUCUGUAAGCCUGUGAAGGUGGCCUGUGAGGGUUGCUGGAGGUAUCAGAAGUGCGAAUGCUGACAUAAGUAACGAUAAAGCGGGUGAAAAGCCCGCUCGCCGGAAGACCAAGGGUUCCUGUCCAACGUUAAUCGGGGCAGGGUGAGUCGACCCCUAAGGCGAGGCCGAAAGGCGUAGUCGAUGGGAAACGGGUUAAUAUUCCCGUACUUGGUGUUACUGCGAAGGGGGGACGGAGAAGGCUAUGUUGGCCGGGCGACGGUUGUCCCGGUUUAAGCGUGUAGGUGUGUGUUCCAGGUAAAUCCGGUUCACUUUAACACUGAGGCGUGACGACGAGGCACUACGGUGCUGAAGCAACAAAUGCCCUGCUUCCAGGAAAAGCCUCUAAGCAUCAGGUAACAUCAAAUCGUACCCCAAACCGACACAGGUGGUCAGGUAGAGAAUACCAAGGCGCUUGAGAGAACUCGGGUGAAGGAACUAGGCAAAAUGGUGCCGUAACUUCGGGAGAAGGCACGCUGACACGUAGGUGAAGUGAUUUACUCACGGAGCUGAAGUCAGUCGAAGAUACCAGCUGGCUGCAACUGUUUAUUAAAAACACAGCACUGUGCAAACACGAAAGUGGACGUAUACGGUGUGACGCCUGCCCGGUGCCGGAAGGUUAAUUGAUGGGGUCAGCGCAAGCGAAGCUCCUGAUCGAAGCCCCGGUAAACGGCGGCCGUAACUAUAACGGUCCUAAGGUAGCGAAAUUCCUUGUCGGGUAAGUUCCGACCUGCACGAAUGGCGUAAUGAUGGCCAGGCUGUCUCCACCCGAGACUCAGUGAAAUUGAACUCGCUGUGAAGAUGCAGUGUACCCGCGGCAAGACGGAAAGACCCCGUGAACCUUUACUAUAGCUUGACACUGAACAUUGAGCCUUGAUGUGUAGGAUAGGUGGGAGGCUUUGAAGUGUGGACGCCAGUCUGCAUGGAGCCGACCUUGAAAUACCACCCUUUAAUGUUUGAUGUUCUAACGUGGACCCGUAAUCCGGGUUGCGGACAGUGUCUGGUGGGUAGUUUGACUGGGGCGGUCUCCUCCUAAAGAGUAACGGAGGAGCACGAAGGUUGGCUAAUCCUGGUCGGACAUCAGGAGGUUAGUGCAAUGGCAUAAGCCAGCUUGACUGCGAGCGUGACGGCGCGAGCAGGUGCGAAAGCAGGUCAUAGUGAUCCGGUGGUUCUGAAUGGAAGGGCCAUCGCUCAACGGAUAAAAGGUACUCCGGGGAUAACAGGCUGAUACCGCCCAAGAGUUCAUAUCGACGGCGGUGUUUGGCACCUCGAUGUCGGCUCAUCACAUCCUGGGGCUGAAGUAGGUCCCAAGGGUAUGGCUGUUCGCCAUUUAAAGUGGUACGCGAGCUGGGUUUAGAACGUCGUGAGACAGUUCGGUCCCUAUCUGCCGUGGGCGCUGGAGAACUGAGGGGGGCUGCUCCUAGUACGAGAGGACCGGAGUGGACGCAUCACUGGUGUUCGGGUUGUCAUGCCAAUGGCACUGCCCGGUAGCUAAAUGCGGAAGAGAUAAGUGCUGAAAGCAUCUAAGCACGAAACUUGCCCCGAGAUGAGUUCUCCCUGAGACUUAGAGUCUCCUGAAGGAACGUUGAAGACGACGACGUUGAUAGGCCGGGUGUGUAAGCGCAGCGAUGCGUUGAGCUAACCGGUACUAAUGAACCGUGAGGCUUAACCUUACAACGCCGAAG
rnacentral:rRNA from 1 species